rnacentral:rRNA from 1 species
CUAGAGAGAGAAGUAGUGCCCGUACCGCAAACCGACACAGGUAGAUGAGGAGAGAAUCCUAAGGCCGGCGGAAGAAUUGCAGUUAAGGAACUAGGCAAAUUGACCCCGUAAGUUCGCGAGAAGGGGUGCCUGCGAGAGCAGGCCGCAGAGAAUAGGCCCAAGCAACUGUUUAGCAAAAACACAGGUCUCUGCUAAAGCGUAAGCUGAUGUAUAGGGGCUGACGCCUGCCCGGUGCUGGAAGGUUAAGGGGAACACUUAGCGCAAGCGAAGGUGUGAACUUAAGCCCCAGUAAACGGCGGCCGUAACAAUAACGGUCCUAAGGUAGCGAAAUUCCUUGUCAGGUAAGUUCUGACCCGCACGAAUGGCGUAAUGACUUGGGCACUGUCUCAACUGCAAAUCCGGCGAAGUUGUAGUGCGAGUGAAGAUGCUCGCUACCCGCGAUUGGACGGAAAGACCCCGUAGAGCUUUACUGUAGCUUAGCAUUGAAUUCCGGUAUUGUCUGUACAGGAUAGGUGGGAGACUGGGAAACUAGGGCGUCAGCCUUAGUGGAGUCAACCUUGGGAUACCACCCUGACAGUACUGGGGUUCUAACAGGACGCCAUGAAGCUGGUGACUGGACAUUGUUAGGUGGGCAGUUUGACUGGGGCGGUCGCCUCCUAAAAAGUAACGGAGGCGCCCAAAGGUUCCCUCAGAACGGUCGGAAAUCGUUCGUAAAGUGCAAAGGCAGAAGGGAGCCUGACUGCGAGACCUACAAGUCGAGCAGGGACGAAAGUCGGGCUUAGUGAUCCGGUGGUACCUCGUGGGAGGGCCAUCGCUCAACGGAUAAAAGCUACCUCGGGGAUAACAGGCUGAUCUCCCCCAAGAGUCCACAUCGACGGGGAGGUUUGGCACCUCGAUGUCGGCUCGUCGCAUCCUGGGGCUGUAGUAGGUCCCAAGGGUUGGGCUGUUCGCCCAUUAAAGCGGCACGCGAGCUGGGUUCAGAACGCCGUGAGACAGUUCGGUCCCUAUCCGUCGCGGGCGUAGGAAAUUUGAGAGGAGCUGUCCUUAGUACGAGAGGACCGGGAUGGACUGACCUCUGGUGCACCAGUUGUUCUGCCAAGAGCAUGGCUGGGUAGCUAAGUCGGGAAGGGAUAAACGCUGAAAGCAUCUAAGCGUGAAGCCCCCCUCAAGAUGAGAUUUCCCAUAGCAUAAGCUAGUAAGACCCCUUGAAGAACACAAGGUUGAUAGGUCAGAGGUGGAAGUGCGGUAACGUAUGUAGCUGACUGAUACUAAUAGGUCGAGGGCUUGACC